GAGGAUUAGCGAGCUGUUUCGCCUGGCUCGCACUUUGACCACGUUUCAGUUGCUCAUUUUGUGUUUUCUUCCAUCUCGUGACUGGCACCUCUCCAAAAGUCUCCAGGUGCUGAAAAAUUUGCAUAAGCAUAAGCAACAAGGAAAUGCCGAGAGAAAAUGACUCUUGAAGGAGAAAACCAUCACCUCGGGAGGAUCUCUGGAUUUCUUACACAAAAUGUCAACAUACGCCCUCUGCUCUUUGCUGGACAGACUGGACACACACGGGAAGGGCAGUCUGGGUUGAGGGAAAACAUCACCACCCGCGUUCUUCAUCUGCACAUUUGCUUUUGGGGGAUUUUUAAAUCCUCCUGGAGACUCCAAAGAAUCGUCCAUGAAAGACGUGUCAGUGUCCAUGGCAUCCCAGGGGGAAUCAUCUUUAUUGCUGCUGUUUUUAAACUCUGCAACCUUUUUGGUAGUAGACUUUGGUCCAGACUGAGCACCACUGGCAUUCUCUGCAGGACUUGUAUCAUUGAAAAAAACAGAAGUCACGCUCAUCAUUUUUCUCCCAAGAACUCAUGUACUGUGAAGUAUUGAGAAUAGAGACAAAAAUCUGUCGUUGUGUACAUUGUGGCGUACCUUUGUAGCGAGCUCCACAGCUCUCUAACACUGGGUGCAAGGGAAUAUUGAUCAUAAGCGUCUUUGGUGAAGAAGGGAGCAUCGGAUACAGGAGGGUCCUCCCUUAAAGCAAUGUGUAUUUUAUAUACCUUGGCAUUUUGUAUAUUUCUGUUAUGUUAAUGCAGAAUUACUUAUACUACAACUAUAACUUGAAUAAUUACUCACCUCACCGGCUCCAUAACUGUUACGGGUUGGACAGUACGGAGUAGGAGCAUUUGAGCUAGCUAGCCACUAGCCAGUUAGCAAACACGCUGGGUGGUUUUCUUCUUCGCAGGAAACAAUAGCAGGUUUUAUAGCUCUUUGUGUUGUGCUGCCCCCUUGAGGCUCCUAAUCGAAUGGGCCCGAUGGUCAGUUGAUAUGGCACCAGGACCAGUGUUACAAAUACAGUAGCGUAGUGGGCCUGAGUGUUCAUCCCCAAAAACAUGCUGGGGUUUUAUUCCUAAAAUGUAUAUCCAAUAUUAUUGCCAGUCUGUGUGAUAUUAUGUAGUUCAAAAAACAACACUGCAGUUCAAUAUAUAUAUAAAAAAAACACUGUAGUUAAUGAUUUCAAUAAAAUGUGUGUUAGUGUAAACAUUAAGGUUUGAUAAAAUGUUACCUAAAUAUUUUAAAAUGCGCAUGCAUUAUAUGUUUAAUAAAAAAACAACAACUUUCCACACAAUUGACUAUUCUACUAAAUGACUACAAUUUAUUUUGACUUUAUUUUUUCAAAACGUUUUUUUUUUUUUUAAAUAAUGAAACAAAUAGCUGAAUGUGACUCAAUUGUAAGAAAAGGUAAUGAUUAAGUCAUCAAACAGUUGAACCAACAAGACAAGAAAUCAGCCAAGAAAGAAAAGCCCAUUACAAGCGGUAAAUUUUAUUAUGGGAUAACAGCACAUAAAGCACAUCUAAAACCGAUGUGUCCAAUGCACUUUUAAUAAAGGUAAUAUUAAAGGUACAGUUUCUAAGUACAAUAUAACAACAUUCAUAUUAGAAUGAAAAGUAUUUAAAAGACAACAUUAAAUUUCUUAUUUUUCUUUACAGCCGUAUUUACAAAAUGAAUCAAAAUACUUAUUUUCAUAUUUAAGAAUCAUCAGACAAGAAGGAGCAAAACUACGUUUGUGAGUUGACUACCUGCUAAAGAGAGUUCAAAAGAGCUGGAUUCAAAAGGUACAUGAGCAUCUGGCCCCUAAUUUAAUUUAACAUCAGUAGCAAACAUGUGACUUGAAAAUUGGUGACAACCACACGCUGAUCUGAGCUUUCCCUCAAUUUGCGUUGCUCUUACUUGGAAAAAGAAAGACUCCACCUCUGCUUCAACUUUCUUAGAACAUGACCAACACGGACAACAACAUGAAAUGUACAGAAAAGUGGUAAAAAUAGAAGAGAAAAAAAAAGUGGACUGACAUAUUUUCUUUUUUUCCAGGUAACCUGUGUAAAAUGAGCAUUCAAUUGCCACUCAAACAAAAUGAGAGGAAUGAGUCCGUACAUUGAAAUCCUUUAACACUGCAUGAACAUGUUUCACAUGUUAAAAAAAACAACAACUUUGUGAGAACUGAACAAAACACAGUUCAGAAUACGGAUCUUAAAAGGACAACUAAAAUCACGUAUGCGCUUUUGCUACACCGAGAGGCACUCAGUGUGAUACACUGUAUUUUAUUGCCAGCAUAAUCAUAUUUGCUACAAUGACGAGGAAACGUCUUCCUUCCGUGUACGCUUUUUCCUUCCGAAUGGGCAACGGAACAAAAUCAAAGUGCCUGAUCCCAGCGCCACUUCCCUGCAUUGUGUAAGGGCCUACGCAGAUAACCAGCGGGUUACAGUAAAUACUUGACAAACUACAGGCUCAAACUGUUCUUGUUGCUGAAUUUAAAACUUACAAUCGGACAAAGAGAAACAAAACACUGCUGCAUCAGUUUGAACAUCAAUUUUUCCC